GUCACAGUGGAAACUGGAGAGUCCAGGAGAGAAUGGGCUCUGGAUGACCUAUUUUGCCAAGAAAAAAAAUACUUAUCUAUGGCUGUCCAUAUGGCUCUGGGACCCCAAACCCAGGCCCUUGCACAUUAGGCAAGAGUUCUAUGGAAGUCUUAGGAACCUGAACAGGCCUGGUCAGGAGCACAGCCUGGGCGCUGUAGACCCCCAUUCACCCAGGGACUCUGGCCCCACCUUGAGGAAAAACCAGCUACCCUGAAGAUGGGCAGAUCCGUGAAGAUUCCUGAUGCCCAAGGCUCUACCAUAAAGGGAAGAAACACUCACAGAGGCUGAGGCCAAUCAGGGGCAGAGUCCUCACAAGAGUAUGAAGGUCCGAUUUUGAUUA
ensembl:lincRNA Gm43904 predicted gene, 43904